rnacentral:rRNA from 1 species
ACGACGCUGGCGGCGUGCCUAACACAUGCAAGUCGAGCGAGGAGAUUCCUUCGGGAUGAUCCUAGCGGCGGACGGGUGAGUAACACGUGGGCAACCUGCCUCAUAGAGAGGAAUAGCCUUCCGAAAGGGAGAUUAAUACCUCAUAACAUUGCAGUUUCGCAUGAAACAGCAAUUAAAGGAGCAAUCCGCUAUGAGAUGGGCCCGCGGCGCAUUAGCUAGUUGGUGAGGUAACGGCUCACCAAGGCGACGAUGCGUAGCCGACCUGAGAGGGUGAUCGGCCACAUUGGGACUGAGACACGGCCCAGACUCCUACGGGAGGCAGCAGUGGGGAAUAUUGCACAAUGGGGGAAACCCUGAUGCAGCCAACGCCGCGUGAGUGAUGACGGCCUUCGGGUUGUAAAGCUCUGUCUUCAGGGACGAUAAUGACGGUACCUGAGGAGGAAGCCACGGCUAACUACGUGCCAGCAGCUGC